AUGGGCUGCUCGAGCUGCGCGCCAAUGUGGAGGCCCCGCACCGCCGCCGAUGGGCUGAUGUUGUUGCACGUCGUGGCGGGGACGUCCGUGUGUGUGCUGCUUGUGCUGGGCGCUGAUGUGGUCGCCCCCGAUCGGAAGGGACGCCGCUGGAGCUGCUGCGGGAUAUGGUGGUGGUCCGCUGAUGGAGCUGGGAGCAGACGCGGAGGCAAUGGGCCCGACUCUCUGUGUGCAAAUCAUGAUGACUUGGAGCACUGCCAUGGGAAGUUUUUAUUCAUCUUUACCUAUAUUUAUUGGAUUAGGUUCCAUUGGCAGUGUCAACAGGUUAAAGAUGAUGUACCCUUUUCCCGUUUGGAUACCAACCAUUGCAUUCAGCAGCAGAUAAUUUUUUGCUUACUACAAACUGUAAGAAGCUGA
rnacentral:rRNA from 1 species